rnacentral:rRNA from 1 species
AGUUCAGAUUGCAGGCUGCAACUCGCCUGCACGAAGUCGGAAUUGCUAGUAAUCGUAGGUCAGCAUACUACGGUGAAUACGUUCCCGGGCCUUGUACACACCGCCCGUCAAACCAUGAGAGUUGGCAACACCCGAAGUCGGUAGUCUAACCGCAAGGAGGACGCCGCCGAAGGUGGGGUUGAUGAUUAGGGUUAAGUCGUAACAAGGUAUC